AAGAAUGAAUCAUCGUGAGUGUCUCCAGGAAGCUUCAGUUAUUUCAGGCUUCAACUAUAGUAUUAAUACAUAGGUAGGGGUGGUAAAUUCAAUUACUAUAAUUCAAACUUAAAAAUAGAAAACCAUUAUCAAGCACUUAAAAUAGAGUAGUUCAAAUCUAAAAACCAUUCUGGCUAUUCUUUGCAUAUCCUGGUCAGAUGGUUCAAUUUACAUCAUACUAAAGAAAAAAAAGCAGACUAAACUGUACUUACAAUCAGGUGGUUCAGUUUGCAUAUCAGGUGGUUCAGUUUGCAUUCUAGGAAAAAAGCAUAUCCUAAUCAGAUGGUUCAGUUUGCAUAUCCUAGUCAGAUGCCAAGCUUAACAAAAGAGAACCAUUACAUUAGAAUUUUUUAUCUACAAGCCAAUUCCUUUACACGUCUGGGGACUGAUGGAUUAUAAGUCCUAUUGAGUGGGUUUGUGUAGUGACUGAUGCUAUUAGCCCAUAAAUAUAAAAAUACAGUAAAGCCUUGCUUACAAUUAUAGCUAGCAUCUAUUAAUCAGAAACAAAUGAAUAAUAUUGUCUCUCUCAUAAGGUCCAAACCGAUGUGGGUCUUAAUUGAUCAAAAGCAUGCCGACAUUUGUUAAGUUCAACAAGCUAUUUUUCAAUCUAUCUUUAUCUAGUGCUAAAUGCCGACAUUUUUACUCAAUGCAUAACUGAAUCAAUAAAAAGACAAAAAAAAUCGGUAUUUAACUGAAUGGACCCCAAAUCGCAUAACUAAAAAGAAAAACAAAAGGAGAGAAUCAGAUAAAAAGACACAAAAAAAAAUCCCCAAAUCGCAUAACUGAAUGAACUCCAAAAUAAAAAGACACAAUCGGAGGAAAUCAGGUAGAAAAAAAUAUCAAUGGGUAGCAACGGCGGCAACCUGAGUUAAAGGAAACCGAGAAAGAUAAAGGGAUCCAGCACUGGUGGCGGAGAGGAGCCAUUAAUUAUAUUAUCACUAGUAAAGGAAUAGACAAGUUCAGAUACGGAAUAUACAAUAUCAGAAACAAAAGCUAGCUACCUGAUCACACGGCUACCUGAACAAGUAACUUUCACAGAACCAUUAAACUAGCUAGCUACGGAGCAUUUAUAAAAAUAAAAAAAAAAUACUUUGCAUGGCAUUUCAGAGAACCAUUAAAAAAGUACUCUCUAACUAACAAAAGAAACACCAGCACACAUAUAGGGAGAAAGCAAUAGUUUCAAAGCUGUAAAAUUAUCACGAUAGCAAAAACAACGUUGUUGCUAUCAAAAGUUGGAAUGGAGUAAAGUCAAGUACUCAAGUUACUAAUGAAUCUUGUACUGCCAACACUGAAGGAACAAGAACUAAUUUUUCUAAAUUUAAAAUGAUGCAUGGCAUUUAGUUAACUAAAACAAAUUAUGUGUUUCUUGGUGAAUCAGCCAUAGACCUUGUGAAUCAGCUGGAACCAAGCACAUAGUCACAGGUAAAUACCAGGACUGACUAAUCUUGGUGCCAAGCUCUAGACAGAUAGGCAACAUAAUUCAAAGCUUUUUUGUGAAAACCAGAGAGCGUGUUACAUUUGCCCGACCCGUAUCUUUACUUGAGUAGAAAAAAUUCAAAACAAAGCCAUUAUGUGUUCUGGACAAAGAGAACAAUCUUAUUCCAUUUCAAGACCCCCUGGCAAGUCUAAAUGAAAAUAUUGCAGAGCAUAACAAUACAGCAGGGGCAUAACGAGAGCUAAAUCAAAGAGCUUAGCAUGAUAUCAGUACCUAGCCCAGAUGCAUUUUAGUACUUAGAUGCAUUACAACCAAAAACUCAAACAGUCGACAAUAUCAGGUAAUAAAAAAUAUAAAGCUUCAUUCCGUGUCAUCUCUACUCUUUAGUGUGUUCACAGCAAUAAUGACAAGAUAUCUGAACUUGUCUAUUCCUUCACUAGUUAAUCUUUUUGCGCUUUUGUGCUAUAUAGUUAUAUAUAGAAUAAUUAUAUUUUGUAUGUCAAACCUGAUAAUUAUAUUACAUUUCAGAUUAUGUUAUACUAGUCAUAAUUAUAUUAUCACUAGAGGACUACCAAAGUACUAGUAACUAGUAGUAGUGUCAUCAGUUAGGCAGCAAGCUGAUCACAUGGCAGCAAGCCAUUCCGUAUUUUUACUUGAGGAGAAAAACAUUCAGAACAAAGCCAUUAUGUGUUCAGGACAAAGAGAACAAUCUUAUUCCAUUUCUAGACCCUCUAGCACUGGGUGAUUAAAAAAUGAUAAGAAUUUUCAGUAGGGCCAUAACAAUACUAGAUGCAUUUUAGUACUUAGAUGCAUUACAACCAAAAACUUAAAACGUAAUUUCUGGUUCGGUCAAGAGUUAAUAAAGGUAUCUGUAAAAGUAAAAAAAAAAAGUCAUUACAAAAAAUUACCUGCAGACUACUAGACUUAGUUCUUUGAAUAGACUAUAAGAUAAAACUUAUAUAAACCAAAACAAUUCAAACCUUAUUGACAGCAGCAAAUCAAUAUCAAAAAACUAAGUGCAAAAUAAUCAAAUAACCAAGUGUACUAGGACUAUAUUAAGAGCACUUCGACAAUAUCAAAAAACUAAGUGCAAAAUAAUCUAAAAACCAAGUGUACUAACUAUAUUAAGAGCACUUCGGCAAUAUAAAAAAACUAAGUGCAAAAUCAUAUUUAGUAACGAGAGCAACUUAAUUUGAUGAAAACAAAUUGUACCUGGGAAUACGGUAUUAUGUGCAGAUGUGGUGGGUCCUAAGAAGUAAGCACCAUUUUCUGCAAGAAGCAUCUUCAAGAUUUCCUUCUUCUGAGUCACUCAUGGUCACUAUAUGUGAGGAAACCUGCUUAACCAAAAAAAAUGAGAUAAACUGACCUCAUAUCGAUUUGGACAGAUUUCUUAGAGAGAGGAAGCAGAGCAGUCAAUGUACCAGAUCUAACAAUGUGACCACCGAGAGGAGAGGACGAUUGUCGUUUGCGAAGAGAAGUGAAAAUAAUCAAGACAUAUGCAUCACGGAUUGAAGAGACAGAGUGAGAGAGAUCUAGGAAUCAGAUCUGAAGGGCGAGAGUGCAACAGAGAGAGAUACGAAGAGAGAGACUGAAGGGCGAGGGUAGAGAUGGAAAGGUUGAAUGCACCGGUGGUUGAAGAGACGGAGGUUGAAGAUGACGGCGGUUGAAGAUGACGAUGGACAGAGAGGUUGAAGAGACGGAGGUUGAAGAUGGAGUGGGCAAAGAGAGAGAGACAGAGGUUGAAGAUGACAGCGGACAGAGAGGGGCCAGUAGGCUACGAACAGAACAGAGAAGGAAAUGAGAAUGGCGACAAGUUGGGUAAGGGGAAUCACGGUUGAGAAAGAAGUGAAACCCAGGAAUGUUGUAGCAGAGAUAGAAAAAGAGAUGGGACAAAGGGCUGCUUUUUUUACCCGAAUCUUGAAGAGCUCUUGGCCGGACGAUAAGCAACGCGCGAGCUUGCCGUUGUGAAAAUACCGGGUUGUGCCCUUAUCGUUGACAUGGUACAAUCACUGAAUCGCAAAUCGACAGAAAGCACGACAAGAACUCUGCUAACUAAUGACUAUAGUUUUAUCACAAAUCAUGAAAAUUUGUCAUGAUAUGAAUUUGUGACAAUGGCUGAAUGGCAUGACAAAAAUGACUCUCUAUAGCUAGUUCUCCCUAAUUCCACCAACUACGAAUCGAAUUUUUUCAUCAUAAGGCCUGUUAGAAUAUCUAUUCUUAGUAAGUUGUAACUCUGUCCUUAGAAAGUCGUAACGUGUUGGGAUUGUCCACACGGUUGUAGAUUAAACUCUAAUCAUGUUGUACACCUCCCAUAUAUAAUGGAAUACCGAGGAGCCAUGAAGGCAUCCAGUUUCUGUUAUUUGCGUAUCUUCCUAUAAGGCCUUGUUUAGAUGUAGACGGAUUCGCAUCAAUCCACAUGUGUUGGGGUGGAUUGGAGUGAAAUUUAAACUAAAUUUCACCCCAAUCCACUCCGACACAUGUGGAUUGAGGUGAAUCCGACAACAUCCGAACAAGACCUAAUAUAAUUUGUACAGCAACGUAUAGAAUUUGUACUAUAUACAUGGCGUGUAUAUACAUACACAGCUACGACGUCGUAUUAUACGCUGGUUAAUUACACCGGCGGCAGCUCAUCAUCAUCAGCUGAUGACUCUGGUGCCUCAGCCGCAUCUCUCGUUGUUGCCACUGCUUUGACCGGCGGCGAGACCACGCACCGGCACAUCGGGCACGUCCCGUGCGAGUGCAGCCACAUGUCGAUGCACCCGACGUGGAAUAUGUGCCUGCACGCCGGCACCUGCCGCACCAUCUCGCCGGCGCACACGUCCUCCAGGCACACCGAGCACACGACGCUGCAGCUCGCCGCCGCUGGCUCGUCGACCUUUAGCGGGCACUGGAACGCGAACGCCGGCGGCGCGUUCACUUGACGAGCGCACGUCGGGUAUCCCGGCCACGCGGGGCGGCGGCCGGUGACCGUGACAACGGCCAGCUCCGCCGCGCUUGUGUUCGUCGCACCCUGCCGCCCUGUUGUUGUUGGCCGACGACGACGGAGCCACCCCUUGGGCGCGAAGCAGCCGCCGACGCCGAGCAGCAGCGCGGCCAGAGCGGCGACGACGGCGAGCGCCUUCCAGACGGUGACGGAGGCGGCGAGCACGCAGAAGAGGAAGAUGGACACGCACACGACGGCAAUGCCGUAGAAGGGGUUGCAGCUGCCGUCGUCGACCUCAUCGACGACGCCCUCGUCGUCGGCGUUCCUCGCCUGGAGCUGGUGCCUUGGGUACAAUUUGAGCAUGGUGAUACAGCACCAGUGAGUGCGUGAGAAGCUGCUUGCGUGCAGCUCUUCAAUCGUGUGCACUGAUGCCAUGAACGAAACGUUUUCGCGGCAAUUUAUAGUGUUCUCCAUGGGGGGUUUUUGGUUUGGCACCAGGCGGCUUUAGCGUGUCACUGCUGCAGUUUGGUCAAUAUUUUCAUGGCGAAUUUUAAUAAAUGAACAUUCAGCCACCUGUUCAUAUACUACGCAUGUGUGACUUUAUCCGGAUGAACAAUUCAUAAUUAAUAAUGGAUUACAAUUACAUAUACGUAUUACUACUGACCACCGCCCGGCGGAAUUGAGAGCUAUGGCUUGUUCGACACGGUGUGUCCAGCCGCCGGCACGGCCACGUACAGGAACUGCACGGCGGCCGACCCUCUCUGUACCAGCGAUAUAGUUUUCCAAACGGGCCGCCCGGCACGGCACGGCACGGGCACGGGCGCAACAUGGCACGGCACGGCUAGGCACGGGCACGGCAGGCACGGCGGCACGCCGUGCCGUGCCUGAUAGUGCCAACGUGCCGUGGUGAUGGCCCAGGCACGGCACUAUCAAGCAGAAAUCGUGUCGUGCCGUGCCAACAGGCCCGAUGGCACGGCAGUGCCCGUGCCAGCCCAGGCACGGCCACAUUUUUGAUAAAAUACUUCAUUAGACUCUGAAUUAAGUCAACAAGCAGAUUAUGAUAUCUAAAUUGCCACAAAAGAACCAGAGAAAGAAAACCAAAGGAAACACACGAGCUAAGAAAAUAGGAGCAUGUGCAAUGGCUGCCUCAUUAAAACCUGCUAGGUAAAACUCACCCUUGUGAGAAACCCUAGUCAGGAAAAGGAAAAAGAGUACAGCCUAGCCCUCUAAAAGUUCAAUACUUCAAUGUUCUUACUUGUCCAAAUUCUCAUAUUACAAACCCUUCAAGCCAAAAUAAAGAAUAAACAUGAAGACUAUGACUAAUGCUCUAAUGCAGGCCCAAGUCUUCAAAUGCUUCAAGCUCCCAGACUCUUCAUGCUUCAAGCUCUAGGUCCCAGCUGCAAAAGAACAGAGUUAGAAUAGGAAUAGGUUAAGAGACAUCAGUUAGCAACAAAAAAAGUUUGAGGUGUUAUUUACCUUGGCGACCGGAGCACUAAUCAAGAUAGAGUUGUUCAAACUCUUCUUCAAGCUCCUUGUCCUCCACAUUGUGUUGUAGCCGUGCCUCCGCCAGCUCCCAAUCCUUGAUGCAGGUAAGCCACUCCACCGUCUUCGGCUUUAGCCUCCUCCGCCGCUCCUCGAUGAUCCUACCAGUCAUACUAAACGUAGAUUCUGAAGAUAUGGUAGACACAGGAACAGUUAAAAUAUCUUUAGCCAUGAUGGACAGCACUGGAUAUGUCAGUUUGUGCUCAUGCCACCAUCUCAAGAUGUCAAAUGCAUCAUCCAACUGGCUCACAGUGUCACAGCCAAGUAUGAGACAAGUUCAGAAGAAUUUGAAGCUGUAGUAGUUGCAGCAUGCAGCAAAGCAGUAGCAGAUGUAUCUCUAGACAGGUUAAGAGUAGAAUGCAGUAUUGAAAUACCUCCACCAGAAGAGCCAGAAUCAUCAUCAUAUAUUUCAUCCCAAGCAGAUCUUUUCUUACCAGAUAGGUUUUGAGGGACAGUCCUCCUCAACCUAACAGCACCAAACUUCUCUUCAUACUUAUUGUAAACAUCAGUAAGCCUAGCUCUAGUGCCAACCUGGUAAGCACUGUAAUCUGUACUGGUAAGGUUCCUCAACAACCUUAACACUUUUGAAAAACCCUUCAUUUUAGCUCUAGGGUCCAAGAUGAAUGCAAAAGAAUAGAGCAAAGGUAUGUCCCUCCAAUAUUUAUUAUAUUUGUCUACCAUAGGUUGAACAACAUCUCUUAGGUGAAUGUCAUUAUAGCAAUCUUAACCAAAUAAUGCAGCAUAAGUGGAGAUGUAGGAUAGUAAACACCAGACAAUGCAACAGUAGCAUCAUAGAACAGUUCAAGAAACUUAAGUAUUUUUUCAGCAACAGACCAAUGUUCUUCAGUUAAAAGCAAUUCACCUUGCUCACUUCUAGGAUAGUUUGCAUGCAUGAAAGUAGUGAAAGGUUCUUUGUGAGGAAACAAAGUCUUAAGCAUUAGAUAUGUAGAGUUCCACCUUACAUCCAUGUCCAACUGAAACUUUCUAGGCCUAUAACUAGCAGCAAUGCAAUAGUUCUUAUAUGCUGCUAUUCUUUGGUUAGAUGAGUUUAAAAAUGAUAUUGCAGUUCUAAAAACUUCAAUCAAAGGUUUAAGAUAUUCAAGUGCCUCCUUAACAAUCAGGUUUAUUAUAUGGCAUGCACAACGCUGAUGCAAGAACAUAGUACUAACAGCAGAUUCAGGAUGUCUUGGAUCCUCUGAAGGAACAUCAAGAUUAAGAUAGGUAGACAAAAUUGGUCUAAGCAAACGCAUGGCAGACACAUUAGAUGAAGCAUUGUCCAAAGUAACAGCAAACACCUUUUGAAGCACACCAUACUCAGCAAGAACAGAUGCAACUCUAUCAGCAAUGUUUUGUCUAUUAUGAGAACAGUCAAUAAGCACAAGACCAAGAACCCUCUUUUCAAGUUGCCAAUCAGGGUUUAUGUAAUGAGCAACAACACUAAGGUAAUCCUCCUUAGCUUUGCCAGACCAUAUAUCAGAAGUAAGGCACACACAAUUAAUUGCAUCAGAAGAUAACACCUCAACAAGCUUACUUUUUCUAUCAGAAAACAUUUUAGCCAAGUCUCUAGUAGUGGUUUGUGUAGAGACAGCCUUGAAUCUAGGAUUGUGAGCAUUAACAAUGUAUUCCUCAAAUGCAGCAGAUUCACCCAAGCUGAUAGCAACAUCUACCCUAGAAAGGAACCUACACAGUUCAGUACGAGCACGCAACGGACAGUACUCCCAAUUACGCAUAGAACCAUCAGGAUUAAAAGAGAUGUGGGUCUGACUAUACCCCCCUUAUUUUCUCUUUUCUCUUAGCACACUUAUCCCUAUGCCGACGGAGGUGGCCAGUGCCACUAGCAGAUCUACCAGAGUACUGCUUCUUACAGUGGAUGCAGAUGGCGCCAUACCUUAUUUCCUUACCUUUGGGACCCAUUUUGAAGAGCUUCUUGAAAUCAUUCCAUACAUCAGAGGUAGACGGACGGGAUAGAUGGUCGUCGUCGUCGCCGUCGCCGGCUUCGGCACCAGUUACGUCAGCUUCAAGGUCGAUGGGGUCCACUGCGUCAGCGCCUCUACCGGGUACAGCGUCAGGGCCGAAGAGCUCUUCAAGCUCUUCGUCGCCCAUGUCGUCCUCAUCGGAAUCACUAGGGAGGUCACGCUGCCUCUCCAUCUCUUCGGCCAUGGCAGUCACACUAGCCUCUGUCUCUGAGACAGGUAGACGGAGCCCCGGCCGGCAGCGUCCUGACGGAUCCGCCGCCUCCUAUCCUCAACCUUGAAACGGGUGGCGACGGCGACGGAGCAGCAGCUCCGAGCAGCAGCGAAUCGGCAGAUCUGCACAAACAAGGUGAACGAAUCAAAACAUUAGCAGCAGCAGAGGAAGAGAAGACAGUAGAGGAGUGGGGACUGGGGAAGCUUGCUGACCUGCUUUGUCGGAGCUCCGGCGAAGUAUCUGCCGUUGCUGCUGCCGGAGGCCAAGAUGUAGGCGUGGGCGCAACGGCGAUCCGCCGUCGCGCACGCCCCUGCUGGUCGCCCUUCGCCACGGUUGACGCCUGACGGAGACGACGGGGGAGGGGAGGGGAUUGGAGUCUUCGCGGCGGCCGAAAGCGCUCAGCGGCGGCCGGAAGCGGAGCAACGGAGAAAGAGGAAUGGAACUAGGGUUAGGGUCUGGAGUGAGGAAGGAAGCCGGAAGCGGAACGGGCGAACGGGGUCACCGGUGGCGGACUGGAGUGGGGGCGUGGCACUGGGAGCGGGCGAGCGGCCGGGCGGUUUAUAUAGCGCUGCGUCUCCAACCCUAAUGCCAACGGCUGAGAUCACUCGGGGCGGGGAUCCGACGGCUGCUGCGUCUCCAACCCCGUGCCUGAUGCGGGCCAGGCCGUUUAGCCGGGCCGUGCCCAUGCUGGCCCAUGGGCUGAAGUGGCGGCCCAGGCACGGGCACGAGUGCGGGCCGUGCCUGGCACGGGCACGUAGGCUGCCGGGCCGGGCCGUGCUUGGGCCGGGCUUUUCUGUGUCGUGCCUGGGCCGGCCCAGCGUGCCUGGCCCGUUUGGAAAAGUUUAACCAGCGAUGCCGAUACACCGUUCCAUAAAUAUUUUUUUCUCAUAAUAAAUCAAUAAAUAGUAUUUUCAACAAUAAUUUAUCAUCGAGAAUUUCGUGACCAAUCUCAACUCACAGAUAAUAACGAACAAAAAAAUUAAUACAUGUUCGAUGUAUCCUAGGAAUAUGAGAUGGAUGUAGAUUUGGCCUAUAAAGAAUUUAGUCAGCGUUGUCUACUGAGGAAACGAAAUAGAUUAUUGAUGUUCCAUUGUGAGCAACACACCACCCUGAUAUGCCAACCUCCCAUCAUUCCUAUGCUUAUCCUCACAUGACCACAAUUUGGAAAAAAUCUUGCAAUAACUAAUUAUUAGUUUACUCAUUUGUAGCUUACUUUUUAAUAUUAUGAGAUGCACUACAAAAUGAGGGGAAAGAAAAAAGUCUAAUAAAAAACAAAACAUCAUACUACAAGAAUUUUUUUUGCGAGAAAUACUACAAGAAUGAGAAAGUAAAAUGUGCGCAUGUGCUCUUAGCACAUGGACCAUCGGAUUCACAUUGAGAUGUGUGCGUGCACUUAUUAUACUAAGAUGUGUGCAUGUACAUUUCUUAAUACAAAUCCAGUGCUCUAUGUGCUAAGAGCACAUGUCCUUAAGGGAAAAAAAACCUUCCUGCAAGAAUAUGAAUACUAUGAAUUGUGGAUGAUAUAAUACAUUGGUGAUUUAUGGUUUGGUAGUUCUUGGCCCGUAACCUGUUCACACUGCAAUCUAAGGGUUUGUUGGUUACGAGUGGUAAAGUUUACCGCCCAUCACAUCAAAUGUUUGGACGCAUGAAGUACUAAAAUAAAUUAUUUAUGAAACUAAAAUUAUGGCUAGAGAGUAAUUAGAAAGAUGAAUAUUAUGAGCCUAAUUAGUCUAUGAUUAGACACUAAUUAUCAAAUAAAAUAAAAAUACUACAGUACUUGUUAAACUUUAACCACGCCAACCAAACACCCCCUAACUAUGCUUCCUUAAGUUUGGUUUUAUGACCUUGUUUAGUUUAUCCUAAAAUUCAAAAACUUUUUAAGAUUCUUCAUCACAUCGAAUCUUGCGUCACAUGCAUGGAGCAUUAAAUAUAGAUAAAAAAUAACUAAUUGUAUAGUUUGUCUGUAAUUUGUGAGACGAAUCUUUUAAACCUAGUUAGUCCAAGGUUAGACAAUAGUUAUCAAAUACUAUUAUGUCUCAUAAUGUCUGUUGUUUGGGAAUAUAACCGCUUUCACAAAUAAGCUUCCCAAGCGACGUAUAAAAUGGGACAGAGGUGGUACAAACGAAAGUACUGCACUAUAAUUGAUACCAGCUCAACCGUUACGGGCCCAUAGAAUGCAGAUCCAGCCCACCAUCUGGCGCUAACGGAUCCAGUUGCCUACUUCCUCGCGCACUCACAGUAAGGCCUUGUUUAUUUCCAAAAAAGUUUGCAAAAUAUAAACAGUAAAAUUUUCGUUUGUAUUUGACAAAUAUUGUCCAACCAUAGGCUAACUAGUUUAAAAGAUUCAUCUCGCAAAUUACAUGUAAACUUUGUAAUUAGUUACUUUUUUACUUAUAUUUAAUGCUUCAUGCAUGUGCCGUAAGAUUAGAUGUAACGAGGAAUCUCGAACAUUUUGCAAAAUAUUUGGGGAAGUAAACAAGCCCUAACAAACAAAUCAACGGUACUUCCUAGUGUCCACUUAUGAGAGGCAAUAUCUUAAUGCACAUAUUGGUCAAAAUAUUUAGGCCCCGUUUCGAUAUUUGGAAUUGAAUUUAUUUUAAUAAUUAUAAAAUGUUGGUAACAUUGUUUGGUAAAAGAGUUGUCGAUUUUUUAUAUGUGAAUUAUAUUUGUAUAUUAUUGUUGGCUAUAUUAGAAAGAUACUUAUGGUUUGUACUUCUACCAUAGGGGGAACGAGUUGAAGAGUGUGCUAUAAGAGCAACUCCAACAUAUAUGGUAUCCAUCUUAUCUAGGCUAUUUUUUAGAUUUUUGAAAUAAAAAUUAAAGUCUAAUAGGUGUGUUAUCUGGUUUACUAAAAUAACAAGUUUGCUAUCCCUAAAGUUUCGCUUGCCAUAGAUAGUACGUCGUCCUCACUAGCUAUCCUAUACCUAGGCUAUUGUAGAACUCUACACUUUAGGUGAGUUUUUUAUUUUACAAAAUAGCUAAAUCUUGUAGUUUAGAAUAUAAGUUUACCUAGUCUCUUGGAGAUGCUCUAAGUUGCAAAGUAGAAAUAUAGAAUGGUGAUCUAUAAAAUCAAAUUUCAUCUCCCACCUUAUGAAUUUAAGAUAGGUUUAUUAAGUAGAUUUUAAUUCCUCCAAAUGAAAUGGUCCAAACAGCCCCUUAUUGAUUUAUACAUAGCAAGACCAGGAACAGUAGACUUUAGGACCUGAUCAAAAUACUUAUAAUGAUCUUAUACAGUAUAUUCAGAAGGUCACUUUCAUGGAAUGGGAAUAUCUUGGUAACUAUACUCCAACAAGUUUGGCAGGAACAAACUGAGUCCUAGUUUGCUGAUCAAUUCAAAGAUCUCUUUGUGCCCAAAUAUCUGAAUUUGUUUGAAAAAUCUCAGGUUGUCAUGCACUGAAAUGUUCCUCAUUUAUAUGUUAUACAAAGAUAUCGCAAACCUGUGCAAGAUUUCAAACAAGGAUCCCAAAAUGCAAAUCUGUUGUCAUGAAAGAAAAAGAGGAUAACGUGACCUAUGCAAAUUCACACGAAAAUUUGGAAAGACUCACAACAAUCUUGCCGAAAAAGCACCAAGCUAGCGUCAUGCAUGAAAGAAGCCAAUCCUGUGCCUGUCCGUGCUUCCUCUUUUUCCUCUAUUUCAGUCAGUCACUCAUCCAUCCCGAUCUGCAGAGGCAAGCCAUCAGCGCGCGGCAGCAGCAGUUGACAACGAGAUCAUGACGAUGUGGGCUGCCACUGCCGGCCUGCCCUCGAGCUCUCCUACCUACUCUACGAGCCAGCGGUUCUUGGAGACAAGCAAAAUUAACGUAGCAAACACGGGUCGAGGUCGAGGAUGCUGGUCCAUGCGGACUGGCAUGGGGUUGGCCGAUUGGGCUGUCAACGCGCGCGUUGCAGUAUAGACUAUAGAGGGGGUAACGCUAAUGGACUGUGGAUUUCUGCAAAUAUUUUAAGCAAGUAGGAGAAGAAGAGAUUACAGCUCGCACUACAGUAGCACUACUGCGGCGACCAUGACUCAGCCUGCGAUCCUACCGGUACCGGCGCGGCCGUCGUCACCCGUCGACGCGGCGAGAGAUCGGACCUGCAGAGCGGGCACGUGACGUGCAUCUGCAGCCACGCGUCGAUGCAGCCGACGUGGAAGAGGUGCCGGCACUCGGGCAGGCUCCGCACCAUCUCGCCGCCGCGAAGGUCCUCCAGGCACACGGCGCACGUCGUCACUCCGUCUCCUCCGCCGCCCGCGGCCGCGGCGGGGCGGUGCUGCUGCUGGUACGGGGACUUGGGCAGCGCGCUGAUGUCUAUUUCGGCAAGCCCGCAGCACACGACUCUGCUGGCUCGCGCGGCGGCGGUGGGAAACGCCGUGCCGGUGCCAGCGGCAGCAGGACGACCCGCCGCGGCCGCGACGACGCCGGUCAGGCACCAGGUGGCGCCGGCGACGAGCACGGCGGCCAAGGCGACGAAGGCGCACGCCUCCCAGAUGAUGACGGACGCGGCGAGCACGCACGACGCGGCGAGCAGCGAGCAGGACUCCCCCGCCACGGUUGCCAAGCCGCCGUAGCCGCCGCCGAGGACGUCGUCGACAUAGACGACAGACUCGCCGGAGAGCACCGUCGGCGUCGUGUACAACCUUGGCAUGAUCGGUACAAGUAGAACGUAGUACUUUUUUGUGCUAUACACUCGCUAGCUGGCGCGGCACUUGCGGGCAAAGCGUUUAGCGCGCGCGGCAUUAAGUAGUCCGUCGCUGCUUCAUCAGGAGGCAGCGUCGUACCAACGCAUGCAGGUUAGGCCUUGUUUAGUUCCCAAAAAAUUUUGUAAAUUUUUUUCAGAUUUCCCGUUACAUCGAAUCUUUUAACGCAUACAUGAAGUAUUAAAUAUAGACAAAAAUAAAAACUAAUUACACAGUUUGGUCGGAAUUGACGAGACGCAUCUUUUGAGUCUAAUUAGUUAAUGAUUGAACAAUAUUUGUCAAAUACAAAAUGCUACAGUGUCGGUUUCCCAAAUUUUUUGGAACUAAACAAGGCCUUAGUACCACGGAGUAUAUUUAAUCAAAAAAUUUAGGAGCGCAUCAGGUUCAAAUAGAUUGCUGCGGAAACGGCAGUACGUAACCAUGUGUUCGUUGGCAAUGUUUAUCUUAUCGCCGUGUCCAGUCUGAACGCCGGUUGCAGCGCGUCUUUUGCGUCUAGAAGAUGAUGUUGGGUUGGCAGCGACAGGGGCGGACACUGAAAAUAUUGUAUAUACGCAACAAGGAAUAAAAUAUCUGUUCUGUUAAUUGGAUCUCCCGCGGUCUCGCCCAAGUGAACAAUUUGCUUAUCCACCAAUGCGUAGUUGUUGAAAAAUUAUAGAUUUAGGUCUUGUUUAGUUCCCAAAAAAUUUUGCAAAAUUUUUCAGAUUUUCCAUCACAUCGAAUCUUUAGACGCAUGUAUGGAGUAUUAAAUAUAGAUGAAAAUAAAAACUAAUUGCACAGUUUGGUCAAAAUUGACGAGACGAAUCUUUUGAGCCUAGUUAGUCCAUGAUUGGAUAAUUUUUGUCAAAUACAAACGAAAUUACUACAGUGUUGAUUUUGCAAAAUUUUUUGGAACUAAACAAGGCCUUAAGAGUGUUCUUCUUUUGGUGACAGACGGCGUACUAAUUGACAGUGCAAUAUCUAUUGAUCUUCUGGUGAUAGACAACGUACUAACUGACAGUGUGUGUGGUAUCUAUUGAAUUUAGUGGAGUCCAACAGCAAUGAGAACGGGCGGAUCAGAGGAGUUUUCGGGCCUUGGGUCUGCCAUGGAUGAACCAAGCUAAGUAAUUAAACAAACACAACCUCUAUAUCUGUUACAAUGAGAAGUGUUCUAAUUAACAGUUUCCAGGUUAGUCCAAACCUGAGUUGCAAUGAAGUGCGUCCAACACUUUUUUGAGAGCGGGAUCGAUUAGGUACGGUGAUUGAAAAUUGGUGGGAGGAGCAUGAAGCACAUCCAGGAGGCGUGUAGUAGUUUAAAACACAAAAUUAAAGUGGCUACUAAUCAAAUUUUGGCUUGUGAGAAGUGUUGCUGGUUGGGUGACCUCUCAACCUUCACCGAAGAGAAGGACGGAGGAUAUAGUGAAUGGACGGAUAGAUUUGAGUGACGUGGCAGCAAGAGGAUUGAGCUUCAAAAGAAUUUAUUGCUUAAUGGAUGGACGGGCCAAACAAGGCCUCUCGAACAACUGUAACUCAAAAUACAAAACUCAUUUUUCUUUUGGUAGUGCUACAGACAAAAAACAUCUAUUUUUAGUCUUCUUCAACAACAAGAUCUAAAAGACAUCACUUUCUACAAAUGGGUCUCGAGGAAAGAGGAUACCCAAAUUUAGAUUAUGCCUCUCUUGAUAUUUAAAAUGGGCCUUCUGUAUAAAUACUCUAUUUUUUUACUGGAACUGGAGGGGUUUGCACCCCUACAGAAAUUUUAUUAAAAACUUAGAAUUACAAACAAACUUUGGAGAAAGGUGAGGGGGAAGGAGCUGUUGGAGGCUAUAGGUAUUGUGUUGGAGUCCUAUUUUGGGUUUGAGUUCCAUAAUAGGUCUCCUAUUGGAGACAACCAAGAGUCUGCCUAAAAAAUUGCUUUCACUUUAGGCUCUGUUUAGAUUGAGGAUCAAAUUUUUUUGGGUGUCACAUCGGAUGCGUCGGAAGGAUGUUGGGAGAGGUUUUUAGAAACUAAUAAAAAAACAAAUUAUAUAGCUCGUCAGCAAACUGUAAGACAAAUCUAUUAAGUAUAAUUAAUCUGUCAUUAGCACAUGUUGGUUACUGUAGCACUUAAGGCUAAUCAUGGAGUAACUAUGCUUAAAAGAUUCGUCUCGCGAUUUUUAACCAAACUGUGUAAUUAGUUUAUUUUUUUAUCUACAUUUAAUGUUCCAUGCAUGUGUCCAAAGAUUCGAUGGGAUGAAUGAAAAAUUUUUGAGUGGAGAACUAAACAGGGCCUUAAUGUAUAGUGCACGUGUAACAUUGGAUUAAUCUAGAUCACACACAAGGUAGGGCUAGAUUGUACAGGCCGCCAUAGAUUGACGAAUGCAACGAGGAUGUCAUACUGACGUGGUGAAGAAUGCAGAAGUUUACAGGCCAAAGAUAGCUGUCACGCUUGCAUGAUGAAAAAUAACUAGUUUUUAGGCAAACUAACAAAGAAACUAUCCAAGCUCUCGCGUGGGUGGGAUCCUGUGGGGGCAAGGACUCGCCUGGGUGGGAUCCUGUGGGGCAAGGACGUCACCAAGUUGCUAGGUUGGUCGACAAGCCUAUGGUAGCAUUUUUGGUGAUUUUUUUUAUUUUUAGCCCAAAUUUAAAAUAUAUUUCAAAUUUGACCCGUUUAUGAAAAUAUUUUCAAAACUAAGCCGUUUGGAUCCGCCACCAUGCAUAACGGGGCAAAUGCACAGAACCCCGCCAUGUAUGGCGGCGGGAUACUACUGCUGACGUGGCAUGGUUCAGGGGACACCUAGUGACGUGUAUAACACGUGGCGGAGUACGUGGCAAAGAGUACCCUGCCACGCAUCAUGGCGAGAAGCAACCCCGCCGCGCAUCAUGGCGGGGUGCCCCCUGUGUGACAAAAUGGCCCACCCCUGCUUUCUCUGCGUUCCCUAGUGGCACUUUCAUUCAUUUGUGGUAAUUAUUGUCUGUAAAUUACACUAAUUAUACAGUUUGUCUGUAAAUCAUGAGACGAAUCUUUUAAGCAUAGUACUUUUUAAUUAGAUAAUUUUUAUUAAAUAAAAACAAAAUUGCUAUAAUGUUAAAAUCUAAAAAGUUUUUGGAUCUAAACAAGGAUAGACCAUAGUGUGUAGGUGUGGAGAGAGAGGGGUCAGGGUGCGCAUAGCAUGGGCAAAGUGACCACAUCAGUAAAUCAGAUUUCCCAAAAAAAUUUGGAAGCAAAGUGACCACGUGAGAGUUUAAUAAAAUCUUUAGGCGUAUAUUUCUAACUUCAAAUAAAUUUAUUCAAAAAUUAGAUUUAAAUAUCUGUCUAAUGAUACUAAUUUUAUAUUAUAAAUAUUAAUAUUUUUAAUAAAUAUUUAAUCAAAAAAUUUUUAUAAGAGCAAAAACGACAAAUAUUUAGGAAUAAAUAGGUAGCAUAGUACAAAUGCUGCUGCGGCACUGCAGCAGUCGCUGUAGCACUUGCCGUACGCUGUGGCGCUACAGUGCUGUGUUGUAUUAGUUCACCCGAAAUUCAAAAAGUUUUUAAGAUUUCUUGUCACAUAAAAUCUUGCGACACAUGCAUGAAAUAUUAAAUAUAGACAAAAACAAAAACUAAUCACACAGUUUGACUGUAAAUUGCGAGACGAAUCUUUUGAUUCUAGUUAGUCUAUGAUUGGACAAUAUUUACCACAAACAAACGAAAAUGCUACAGUAGCGAAAUCCAAAAAUUUUUCACAUCUAAACAAGGCCUAAAAAGAGCUACCUCUUUAUUAAAAAGAGCUACAGUGUGCAGCAGCAUACCGGCAAAUGUGUUGUACUGUGCUACCUCUUUAUUUCUAAAUAUUCGUCGUUUUCACUUCUUAUAAAAAUUUUGAUUAAAUAUUUAUUAAAAACAUUAAUAUUUAUAAUAUAAAAUUAAUAUCAUUAGAUAGAUAUUUAAAUAUAUUUUUUGAAUAAAUUUAUUUGAAGUUAGAAAUAUACGUCUAAAGAUUUUAUGUAACGAGGAAUCUGAAAAAUUUUACAAAUUUUUUUGAACUAAACAAGGACCAACACCCUAGACUACUGAUGUGGCCACUUUGCUCAUGCUAUGCGCAGCCUGACCCCUCUCUCUCCACACAUACACACUAUGGCCUGAUCGACCUUGUUUAGAUCUAAAAACUUUUUAGAUUUUAACAUUGUAGCAAUUUUGUUUUUAUUUAACAAAAAUUAUCUAAUUAUAAAGUAACUAUGCUUGAAAGAUUCGUCUCAUGAUUUACAGGCAAACUGUAUAAUUAAUGCAAUUUACAGACAAUAAUUACCACAAAUGAAUGAAAGUGCCACCAGGGAACGCAGAGAAAGGAGGGGGUGAGCCAUUUUGUCAGACAGGGGCACCCCGCCAUGAUGUGCGACGGGGUUGCCUCCGGCCAUGAUGCGUGGCGGGGUACUCUUUGCCACGUACCCCGCCACGUGUUAGCCACGUCAGCAGGUGUUCCCUGAACCAUGCCACGUCAGCAGUAGUAUCCCGCCGCCAUACAUGGCGGGGUCCUGUGCGUUUGCCCCGCCAUGAAUGGUGGCGGGUCCAAACGGCCUAGUUUUAAAAAUAUUUUCAUAAGCAGGUCAAAUUUGAAAUAUGUUUCAAAUUUGAGCUAAAAAUAAAAAAAUUCUCCUUGGUCAUCGGAUCAUGUAACGAAUAGCAACAUGAAGAUUGGAAGAGACUAAGGCAAAGAGAAAAUGUAUCUGUUGGGCACCUCAAUCAUUCAUGCACCUUAAUUAUAUAUUUAUUUACUAGUAGGAAUGGCGCGCCCCUGUGCGCCGAUUAUUAACAAAAUAGAUAAGCGAAUAGAAAGUAUUGGAAGCUGUUGAAUAUAUACAGAAUAAUAAGGUUUGUAAUAAAGUUUUGGUACACUAUAAAUGACAAUAGGAGGUGCCACUGCAUUAAGAUGGGAGAGUUUAACAGGAAAAGGGAACCAUCGUCAAGUGUCUGAUAAAGUUGUUGUAAGGUUAGUAUGAAGCAGGUUGAUGCCUAAAGUUCUAGCAAUUCUACUUGAGGAAAUAACAGAGGCAAUAUUUUAUAAACAUUAGUUCAUGAGUAGGCGCUGCCAAUUGAAAGCUACAAAAUUCAUGAGGCCUGACCCUUGUCAUUCUACAAAAGAAGAUGACCCACGUUUAAGAUGGUGGUGCACCCUGCGAUAGCAAAGAAGAAAUUGUUUAAAGGAUUUUGUAACAUAUAAAUCAACGAAAGAUUUAGGAGUAUUGUUGACAAGGCACAUUUCUGAGGUAUUACAAAACAAUAUUAUUAGGAGUUAAAAAUAUCUGAGGUUGUGUACAAUAUUAUUCCAAAUUAGAUUGAAAAUGAUUAAUUACUAAUAUAGCUCACAAAUAAUAUGUGUACAUGAAGUGGAGCACUAAAAUGAUAAACUUGAAUGUUUGAUAUAUUGGCUACUCCAAAACUGCACAUUUUGUGUAAGUUAUAUGUAUGUAUACAUGUAUUUUUUGUUUAUCUAGCAACCAAAAGACUUUGGUAAUAUGGGUUUGAGUUUUUUUUACCUAUUUUCUGGAUCCAUCGGUCUUAUGCCUAGUCAUUGUUGCUGCUUACCUUUUAGCUUUCCGGUGGACAAAAUUGUUGAUAAGUCAAAUAACAAAAAAACAGAAAGACGACCAAAAUCAGAUAGGAACCUACUAAAAGUAACACCAUUCAGCAGGCUGAACACAAAGUACUCUGAAAGGAAAAUAUGGUAGCAAUUUAGAGCUGAUCAGAUUACGGUAGAAAUACUGAGCUGCAUUAUAGGAAACCAGAAUAAAAUUUCAUAAACAUUGCAACUCUUUCAAAAGGAACAAUCCUCCAAAUACAAACAAAUGCAACUUCAGUUACAGGCAUGAGAAGAGGGCUCACUAAGUAACUUAAAUACAAACUAUGACGCAAAUGGCACGUAGUUCAAGCUUAACAAAAAUACAGAUAAAGCUACAUGAACAUGUACAUGGAGCCUGUCUAUGAGUUUGCAUAUCAGUUCUUUUACAGUUCUUUUACAGAGAGAUCAUGUAGGAAAACAAAACCAGAGAAACACAAAACAGGGAAACAUGAGAGCAUUUGAUUAAGUAUUGUAGGACCAAAUAAAUUAAUCUACUCUGACAGUAAUGUAAAUGUUUUUUGGCGACAAUAAGUUUU
rnacentral:lncRNA from 1 species